AUGGUUACUGGGUCAAGUAUCCAUUCAUCCUCUGCCAGAUAUUUGACACUGUAAAUAAUCAACGGUUCUUCCAGAUUUUGCAGUAUUGCUUGACAUAUGGGAUCAUCUGGCAUUCGAACACCAACCUGCCUCCUUUUCGCAUACCUAGUAGAUGACCCAUGCUUGAUGCAUUGCUUGGGCAAUUCCUUAGUCGCAGGUAAAAUAAAGGUGUACUGCACAUGA
rnacentral:rRNA from 1 species